rnacentral:misc_RNA from 1 species
GAUGAAGAACGUAGUGAAAUGCGAUAAGUAAUGUGAAUUGCAGAAUUCAGUGAAUCAUCGAAUCUUCGAACGCACCUUGCGCUCCUUGGCAUUCCGAGGAGCAUGCCUGUUUGAGUGUCAUUAAAUUCUCAAGACCUGUCUGCUUUUUUGAUAGGUAUUGGAUUUUGGGGGUUGCAGGCUGUUUCAAAUAAAUAGCCUUGCUCUCCUUGAAUGUAUUAGUGGAGAAAAGCCAUUGAACUCCAUUGGUGUGAUAAAACCUAUCAAUGCCAGGAGCAAUAUCACUACUUCUCUCUGCUGUCUAACUGUGACUGUCUGUAUUAAUUAGUAUGGAUGGGGACAACUUGACCAACUUGACCUCAAAUCAGGUAGGACUACCCGCUGAACUUAAGCAUAUCAAUAAGCGGAGGA